CGAGAAGGAAAACAGCAUUUCCUCUUAAAGCGAAAACAGGACACGCUCGCACAGCCGCCUGACGAGCAGCACGACUCCUUUCAAAACUCGCUUCCUCCACAAGCACGCGCUGGGAGGCGAGCACCUGGCCACCGGGGAGCUCACGUGGGACUGUCUGACCUUCGCUGCGGGGUGGGAACAUUUCACAGGAAACCGUGGGUUAAGACAAGAGUCGCAGCGAGAACAACCGUGAAAGGGCUCGGUGGAGACCCCAGCUCUCCCACACAGAGCCUCCUCCCAGCCCUGUACCCCGGGGCAACCAGCCCUCGUCCCCAAACCGGGCCUCUGGAUUUCAUCGGGAGGGAGGAAGUGGAUCACUGCCCUCCCAGUGCCCCUGCGCUCUGUGAUUCUGCCAGGAGCUCCAACCUGCAUCUGGGCAUCCAUCCCAUCCGUGUGCCUACCAUGUGCCAGGCCCUAGACAUAAGCAGAUUGGGGCCUCAGCAACAGGGCUCACCAGCUACCCCCUCCCCCCAGUCCCUGACGUGAUCCAGCACCAUGCCUCCUUUUAAUGUCAGGACUAGGAGCAGUUCGGGCAACUCAGGGGCUUUGCAGAGAAGUGCCCUGCCAACAAGCCCUCACAGCCCCCACCUCAGGGCCUGCCCCCUCCUCAAGGCCUCUGGAAGGCAUCCAGCUCCCCACUCACUGGCUCCCCAGCACGCCUGCCCCUCCUCAGUGUGCACCAGGGGAUCUGUGUGCCUGGGGUUGCAUUCAGCAGUGUGUCCAGGGCUGGCAGAGCCAGCCCUGAAUGCCACUGGGGCCUGUUGGGGGUCCACAGGGAAAGCCCAUCGCAGCCGUUGAGGCCUUGAUCAGCCUGGUAUUCUGGGCCCACUAAAAACUACAAAAGGAAAAUUGCACCUUGAUCUUGUCACAUAAUGACCGUUUCAUGCGGCUAGAACCAGGGGCCACGCACUGGGUUAUUCAUUAAUAUGUUUCCAGGGCAGUGAACAAAAGACGCUUUUAUUGCCCAGCAAAUAGCACUUUUCCACUUGACUAGAUCACACCACUCAGCAGUAAAGAGGACAGCCCUGCCCCCCAAGGUUGCCUGCAGCCUCUCCAUCCAGCAGCCCUGAGGAACCAAUGAAGCAUUGGAGGCCCGGUGACCCCGAGGUGACAGCCAGCUUUUAAUUGACACGUCUGUACCUGGCAGAUGAUUAUUGCUUUAUAUGAGACGUUUGGCUGGGAGGGAGGGAAGGGAUUUUCAUCUGCGGCGCACAGAUAAAGAAGUGGGGGAAGAAACUGAUGCUUCUGGAAUCCCUCUUCCGCGCUAGGCUGUUUGUCGUGGGGCCCCUGGAACAGUGCCGGACAUACAGCGGACAUUCAGUUAGUAGUAUCUGAAGGAUGAACCUGGUUAGGCAGAUGUUCUUAUCCCUCACCUCACAUGUAGAGAAACACAGAGGUCAAGUCUCGUCCGAGGUGACGCAGCCAGUGUCCGAGCCACGCGGCACCGUGUAACAAACAUCCCCAGCUCAGCGGCAUAAAAUAGAGAUCAUCUGCUUUGCCAAGAACUUGCAGUGUGGGCUGGCCUUGUUGGAGACGUCCUGCCUGGCAUCAGCUGGGGACGCUCAAACUCAGACCGAGACACUCCCCCUUUAAGACGGCCCCUGGAUCGACACUUGCCUGAAACUAGAUAUAGCAGAUCUCUCCACUUUAAUACAGUCUGCUGCAAAAGUAUAUUUUUCAAAAGGAUGAAAACACAGUUCUCAGAGAAAUAUAAACUGCACAUGCGUUAGUUUCAUUUAACGCAUGGAUGAAGGGGUUUGUCUGGAUGGCAAAGCUGGUUCUGAGAAGGGCGCCCUAGCCCUGAUAUAUCCACAUCUGGUCAGAGGAAAAGAAAGGAUGCCGGAGUCGGAUUGCUAAGCUGGACCUACAACAGGUUAAUAGCUCACGGGGCAAUAAACCAUAACCUUCGGGAUUA